rnacentral:rRNA from 1 species
UACGAAGGGGGCUAGCGUUGCUCGGAAUCACUGGGCGUAAAGCGCACGUAGGCGGGUCCUUAAGUCAGGGGUGAAAUCCCGGAGCUCAACUCCGGAACUGCCUUUGAUACUGGGGAUCUUGAGUCCGGAAGAGGUGAGUGGAACUCCGAGUGUAGAGGUGAAAUUCGUAGAUAUUCGCAAGAACACCAGUGGCGAAGGCGGCUUACUGGUCCGGUUCUGACGCUGAGGCGCGAAAGCGUGGGGAGCAAACAGG